rnacentral:rRNA from 1 species
ACGGGAGGCAGCAGUGAGGAAUAUUGGUCAAUGGGCGGAAGCCUGAACCAGCCAAGUAGCGUGAAGGAUGACGGCCCUACGGGUUGUAAACUUCUUUUGCCGGGGGAUAAAAAACGGGACGCGUCCCGUCUUGCAGGUACCCGUGCGAAUAAGGACCGGCUAAUUCCGUGCCAGCAGCCGCGGUAAUACGGAAGGUCCGAGUGUUAUCCGGAUUUAUUGGGUUUAAAGGGUGCGUAGGCGGUGGAUCAAGUCAGUGGUGAAAUGGUGCGGCUCAACCGUAGCAUUGCUGUUGAAACUGGUUUACUAGAGUGCGAAUGAGGUGGGCGGAAUGUGUCAUGUAGCGGUGAAAUGCAUAGAUAUGACACAGAACACCGAUUGCGAAGGCAGCUCACUGGGACGCGACUGACGCUGAGGCACGAAAGUGCGGGGAUCGAACAGGAUUAGAUACCCUGGUA